rnacentral:misc_RNA from 1 species
GUCAACUGAUAAGGCUUAAAAUUUAUUUACUAGUAAAAAUGCCCCAUGAGCUACAAUUAGUGACAAGGCCUGCAAAAAGCUGCAAGUACUACAAACUCAGACAACAAGGAGUUUUCAACUUAAUGGUCUGAAACAUUCAAAGAUACAAAAUUCAACACUAAUGUCAAAUGUGCAGAAUUGUACAAAAAGAAUUCAGAGCCUUCCAUGUCAAAAUCCAAAAUCCCUGCUAUAGUUGCAAAUGCUUUCCUAUUUUUCUAUCUAUAUCACUCUUUUGUUACCCUGUAAAUGGUAUGAAUGAAUCUCCAUCCGGAGGAUGCAAUCAUACUGAAUUCAAUUUCAACUGCUGUUUAUUGACUCCCAACCUGGAAUAUUAGCUGUAGCUUCAUUUACCAUCUUUACAAGCCUUACCUGCAGACAAUUGCAUUAUUGAAAGAAAAGAAAGUGCCCAUAAGUUACCUUCACACCAUGAUCUAUGCUUUAAUAAAGUGAAGAAAGGGCAAAAAUGAAUUAUAAUUCAGAUGAGAAAAAGCUUCUUAAGGGUCACUCUAUCAGCAAGCAUAGAACCAGUUUCUUCAAAUCACAAAUACAUAAAAGAAUCUUCAUAUUUGGCACACCAAACCAAUAUUGAUGAAAUUAGAGAUUGUUAAGAGUACCUUAUAAAACAAUUCAAGCAUUCUCAUUCUACCAAAAAUACAUACACCCAUAAAAUUUAAGUUCUUUUUGAGAAAGUUGAAGUCAGCAAAUAGCUAAUUCAAAAAAGCACAAGUUAUUUCCAUGAAUACGGAGAAAUGAAUUCUAGGACAGAGGUGGGGUAGCAGUAUUCCUGCUUUUGAUCUUAUUUAUUAAGUUCCCUCAUUAAAUUUGAUUCAGUAAUAUUUCCAAAUUAUUAUUUCCCAAAAGGUACUUUAAAGAAAGAAAUUUAGGUAGACAUACCACACUUUCAGGAACUCCUGGUGGGGGUAAGGAGAGGUUCUUUGGAGGAGGACCGCUUAAAUAAGAUCUCUUAUCAAAUCGCCAUUCUCCAAUUUUUCCAUAUGUUAGUUCCCCCUUUAAAUUAUAGUCACAUCCAUAAGUAUAAUGAAUAAUAAACCUCUUCCCAACUUCCAAAUCCCAUGGUGGCUGAAAAUUUUGAAGAGAUCUAAUUCUUUACAUGCAGCUACAAUAGACAGAACGAAAUAAAAGAAGAUUUCACACAUAUCGUCAGUACCUGUAUCAUAAAGUCCUUCCGAAGUAUAUGACGAACACCAUGCAAUGCUGAUGCUACAGCAUAGGCAUACCUUAAUUCAACAGAGACAUCAAAACAUUGAAGCAUACUUCAGUCAUUCAAGAUCAACAUUCAUCAAUCAAAAUAGAAACAAUCUUCUCAAAUACUACUCACAUUUCUAACACCCAACCAAAUGCCUUAUCAGUCUCAUGGUCAUCUUUCAUUCUUAAUGAAAUAUUUACCCAUGUCGGUGAAAUUUCCUCCAGUAUGGACUUUUUUAUUAUUACAGGAGAAUUGCCAAUUGGAUCAACAUUUGUCACAGGACCCCUUUCCUCCGGAUAAAACUUUCUAAUAAUUUUUUCAUGUUCAGUUGGUUUAAUGUAGAAAAAUGGAUACCCCACUGGAUGUUCUCCAUGUGCCAAGUUAGGCAAAGGAUUUACAAAUAUGUGGUCAGGCUCUGCCAUUAAAAUGUAUUCUUCAUCAAUAGUUGCUUUUUCCAGCCAUUGCACAAAAGCCCAUGGCCUAUUUAAGACGAUAUAACCUCGAUCCAGGCCCUCUGGAAGAGGAUCUACAACGAAUGUUGGAAUCUCAUCCAUCAAAUUGUCAGCUUUUCCUGAAUGCAGAAUUCGAGUGAACUUCCCCAUGUCUGAUCCAGGCAUGUCUUUCAUCUUCUUAUACCAAUAAUACAUAAUCCGGCAUUGCCAUUGGCUAUAAGGAGUAUCUGUCGCUGUAAGACCAACGUGGUAUCUCAAAUUUGACUUCCCUAAUCUCUUUACUUCAUGAGGCAUAUUAGCAAUGGAGUCAGAUAACUCCAAUCCAUUUCCUGAACUGGAGUUCUUAUAUUGUAUUACCAAUGUCAACAAGUUAUAUGUAGCAAAGAAAAAUCCAAGUGACAAAAGCACCAAAAAGAAUGGUGAUACUCGUCCCAUAUUUUUUCUCCCAGUCAUCUUGAAGUCCUAAGUUAGAAAAUGAAUUCCAACUCCUCAGAAGUUACAAUUCAACCAAACCCCAAUUCUCCUACCUACAACAGCAUUUAAAUUAGAAGGCAAACACUCCCACUUACACCCAUUUCAUUUCACAGCUCCAGAAAACAAUUGCAACAAUAAAAUCUCUAUACUUUCACGAAGAAAAUCCAAUGGGACCAAUCACAAAUCCAGGAUGAAAGGAAAACAUGCAUGCAUCAAUUUGCAUCGCAAUUAACAAAUAGAAAUGAUAGAGUCAAUGCGGCAUAUAAAGAAAUAACACAGUGCAAAAAGCCAGUCUCCAAAACACAGGUAAUUCAGCGCCAAACAAUCCCAGAUGCUCAAAAAUCAGUAAAACAACAAUCCACUCAUCAGCCAGAACACAGUUUUGAUUAAGAAAUGGGUAGACACAGAUCUGAAAUGACUAGUUGAAAGAAACUGAAUAAAAUUGAAAAGAAAAGAACCCAAAACAGCGAAAGAAACAGAGAUCAGAGAACUCAAAAGAAAAUUAAGAAAGAGCACAUUUUAAUUAACCUGAAGAUUGAAGGAGGAGCAGAGAGGGAGAGACUCUGAGUUUUUGUCAACGGUUGCUGGGAAACGCGGAGGUUUGACAAGUCGCCAACUGGAAAAUUCAAUCUAAUUAAUGUUUCAGAGUGCCAUUUUUAAUAAGGCUAACGUACUACGUGGGAUUGAUUUUUCAGUCGUUGGAAAUAAGCCUUGUGGAAGUAUGACGUGGAGGUAGCGACAACUACAUUUGGACAUUACUCCUUCACCUCGUCUUCUCUGUCUUCUUCUUC